rnacentral:lncRNA from 13 species
AACAUGAAAGACUGUGGUGUCCCCAGGAAGCUGACUGUUUGUCAAGUUGAAGAACAGCCUUUCAAAAGCUAUGCCCGAGUCUCCUGUGACACCACCAGCAAUCUGGAUGACUUGAUUGGAAGACGGCGUGUGGAGAGGCAAGGAAAGGACCAGACAACACAUUUGAACACUUGUUCUCCAGAUUGCCAAUCAGAACUUGGUACUCAGUUGCAAAAUUCUACCACAUCUGCUGAUAAGGAAAAGCCAGGGUCAACCCAAGGCCAGCACAAAGGUGGUGUGAAGAUGGAGGACCUCCUUGGUCAAGUGGAGACGCUAUGGGAAGUUCUGAGGAGAAGACAUCAUAGAAGCAUGAUUGAUGCAAACAGCUCUGAGAGGCUCAACUUGGAGAGGGAUGACAAUCAUGAGACAGACAAGGAUCGGCUCGAAGGACGCAUGUCAGAAUACAGGGCAACCACGGAAAACGUGGAAUUCUGGAGCGUCCCAGAAGUCAAGGAUCUCUCUGAGACAUUGGAGGAAAACGACAGAGGAAUGCUGACAGAGCUGCUUAGGUGUCUUGACCAGGAUGAAAACUUUGAUCAUUGUGAGGUAGAGGAACAGCAAUCAACACUGAAGCUGCGCAUCAACCAGCUCUUGUCCAGGUGUGCAGAGUUCAGCAUGGACAUUCUGGACACUGAGACAGACAUGGCGGUCAGAUGUGAGCCCAAUAGUUCUGAACUCGAGGGACUGCAGGAGCAACAGGAUGAGCUAGAGAGGGACUAUCAGGUCAUAAAAGAGGAGGUGGAGGAGAUUGAGGGACUGGCUUCGCAACUACAGGUCCUCCUACCUGAGAUGGCAGGGGCUUUGGGGGAGAACGUCCAUGCGACCCAGCAAGCUUGGCAGGAGUUGGGCUGGAGCAUCGCAGAGAACCAAUGCAACCUCCAACAAUUUCGGCAACUGCAAGAUUUUCUUAGGGCCUACCUGGCCAUGAUCUCAUGGACAGAGGACACACAGACUUGCAUUUUCUCAGAGGCUUCAGCCCAGCAGUGGAGAUUGGCAGAAUCGAGUGUUCCAUCUGAGCUGGAUCUGAGGAUUGAGCAGAAGUUUGACGAGUUUGACAAGCUCGCUGCUGCUGGGCAGAAGCUUAUCAAGGAGCGACAUCACUUGGCAGAUAUUAUAAAGGAGAGGACUGAGGAACUGCAAAGCAUGCUGGGAUGGAUCCUGGUGUACUGGAGGGCACAGAAAGACCAGCUGGGUCGGGAGAGGUCAGGGGAUUCAAGAAGAAGUGAUGCCCCUCAGGGAGACGCAAGCAGAUUUUCACAAGGCCAACCCCAGAAUCUAUCCUCUCUGGCAGAACACAAGUCCUCGGAAAGACUGUCCACAAAGCACAGGCUGAUGGUGGCGAGCCGGUUUGAAGGACCACAAAAAUCCCAACCGGGGAUAGGUCACCAUGGAGAAAACUUUGCCAAGCUGCCACCAGGGGGCAGUCUGCAACAGGGGCCAGUGGAGGCAAGGCAGGCAGUGGAACCUGUGCAUAGGGUGAGCACCUAUCUGCAAGUCACAGAUGGAAGUCCUGUUUUUGAAGAGGUGGCAUCGCCUCAUAUCACAGACACGAGCCACGUGUCGACCACCGUUUCCACAAGCUCAACCAACGCCACUUUCAUACCCCAAGUCAGGACUGUCUUGCUCCCCACCUUACCCAGAACCAGUUCCACCUCUACCUUAAACCUGAAGGGACCGAUGAAGAGGAGGAAGAAAAUUACACACAGGCACACUGUGACUGGCAUUGUCGGAAUGCCCAAGCCGGAGGGGGUUACUACCGUGCCCAUCGGCGCCACACACAGAGCCUACACCUGGCCACUGGAGGAUAAGAAGGAAUGCCAUGCCAAACAAGGAAGUCCAGUUAAUACAGAACUCCAACUGUAUAUCAAAAAUAAUUCUGUGGUGAGUGUCAUAGAUGGAAACUUUUCAGACACAUCAAGCAUUCCUACCAUUCCUACCAUCCAGGGGCAUUUCUUGCAUGGGCCCAAUGAGAUGACCAUUAGGCAAGACUAUGGCGUUAUCCCUCUUGGGUCGAUGUUGAGCUUUGACCUACCCAAGGAUUGGGGGAAAAUCUCACAGAUAGGUGCAAAAGACCUCACAACAGAGAAAGUGCCUUCUGAAGCCAAUGGGGACCAUGCCAGUCCACCUUUGAAUCUGUAUAUCUCAAACACACUCAGUCAGACUCACGAAUCAUCCAAAGUAAUUGGACAGACUUUCACCCUCAGUCCAGAGAAGGAAAGGCAUCUUGAAGCUGAUGGGGAACAUGACAGUCCGAAUGGUUCACCUCCGAUUCUGUGUAGACCGCCAGGAUCAAAUACACUCAGUCUAACUCAGAAAGUGAUUGGGCAGAAUUUCACCCUCAGUCCAGGGGAGGAAAGUAUCUGCAAAACAGGGGACUUUGCUGGUCAAAAUGGUUCACCUUUGAAUCUAUACAAAUUGGCAGACUCAAACACACUCAGUCAGACUCACAAAGUGAUUGGACAUACUUUCACCCUCAGUCCGAAAGAGGAAAGGAGCUGCGAAACAGCAAGGCAGGACUCGCAGAAGGUGAGCGCAGAGUCUGUUUCUCUUUUGGUUCAGUGUAUCUCGCUUCCUGAGAAAGAUGACGUCUAUCACGACCUAAGAUGCGCCACAAGGAGCCCUGCCCUUGCUGCUGGACAUGAGAACAUUUUCUCCAGCACUGUUGGUAUCCACGAUGAGGAUAAGGUUGAGGUUUCUAUUCCAGUGGCCAUUUUGGACUCUAACAAGCAACGCACUGAACCAAACUGCAGCAGCUCGAUACAUGACCACACCCACACUGAACCAGCACAGAACCACAAGCACAACUGUUUAAGUGUUCACACUAAGAUUCAAGACCUCAAUAACCACAUAUACUUCCCUUCUGCAAAGAGGCAAUUCACUUUCCAAAGUGCACUUCGAGUUGUAGAGAUCAAGGUCUUGUCUACUGUGUCUGAAGACUCCACAUGGAUGGGUGUGCGCGGGUCUGGACGAGUCAUUGUGUGCUCUGAGGACAACUGUUGCGUGUGCUCCGACAGCUCCGCACCAAUGAUGGUAUUGGAAAAAGAAACUUUACCCAAAAGAGAACCAGAUCAUAUUCAUCCUGAUCAUUGGCAGUUUGAGGAGGAGGAAGAGGAGCUGGAGGAUAUCUGGAAUGGCACAGACCGGGAAAGAGCGCCUUGAAUUACUGUGGUCCAAAAAUACAAG